rnacentral:rRNA from 1 species
CAGUCGCCGCGGUAAUACGAAGGGGGCUAGCGUUGUUCGGAAUUACUGAGCGUAAAGCGCACGUAGGCGGAUAUUUAAGUCAGGGGUGAAAUCCCGCAGCUCAACUGCGGAACUGCCUUUGAUACUGGGUAUCUUGAGUAUGGAAGAGGUUAGUGGAAUUGCGAGUGUAGAGGUGAAAUUCGUAGAUAUUCGCAGGAACACCAGUGGCGAAGGCGGCUAACUGGUCCAUAACUGACGCUGAGGUGCGAAAGCGUGGGGAGCAAACAGGAUUAGAUACCCCCGUAGUCCCUGUCUCUUAUAC